UACAGAGGGGGCAAGCGUUGUUCGGAAUUAUUGGGCGUAAAGGGCGCGUAGGCGGCCUGGCAAGUGGAAGGUGAAAUCCCUCGGCUUAACCGAGGAACUGCCUCCCAAACUGCUUGGCUUGAGACCGGGAGAGGUGAGUGGAAUUCCCAGUGUAGCGGUGAAAUGCGUAGAUAUUGGGAGGAACACCAGUGGCGAAGGCGGCUCACUGGACCGGUACUGACGCUGAUGCGCGAAAGCGUGGGGAGCAAACGGG
rnacentral:rRNA from 1 species